rnacentral:lncRNA from 1 species
AUUUCUCUUAGAUGGAGAAAAGGGAUUUGAGGCAAGCUUACAAGAACCACAAAUCCUCCUUUAGCUGAGGGUUUGGGAUUAGACAGGUAGCUGAAAUAUUGUUUCACAAAGAAAAGAGAAAUACAGUUUGGUAAAGCAGUCAGAUGUGAGUAGAGAAACAAGAAUAAUUCACAGCUAUCAUCAAAGCUUCCUUUGCAGAUGUGAAAGACAACGGCAGUGCCAUUGAUAAGCAAUAGCAAGAGAAGGCUUUGGACCAAACUGAAUUAGCAACAAUGGCAGGACAUUUUAGAGGAGACAUCCUGGAGGACCCUGGAACUAUAGGAUCAAAGCUAAGUAAGAUUUGGGAUUGAAAAUAGGAACAUUAAGUUAGAGGGGAUAAUGGGAAGCCACAAAAUGGAAAGCCUCAGGAAAAUUGACGUGUGAUAUUCAAAAUUAAGAGGUGAUAGAAAGAGAAAGAGCUGAUGGUUAGGGAGAAAGAGCAAGCAGGGAGCUAGGAGAAGAGCCCAGAAGUUAAUAUAAUGGGAGCCCAGGAAGAAGUGUCAUUCAGUAAGUGAUUGAUCAACAGUAUCAAAUGUCCCAAAGAUACGACAGAGGAAAUAGAUAAGGGGGAGCUUACUGGAUUUGUAUUAACCUGUGUAAAAAAUAUUUGCUUUUGUUCACAGACUCUAGAAUUCAAACAUCAUGAUCAUAAGCAAAUAAUCCUGUUGUGAUAAAUGCAGGGACUACAGAAAUAUUUAUAAGAUACUCCUAGGAGUUCCCUGGUGGCUCAGUGGGUUAAGGAUCUGACUUUGUCACUGCUGUGGCAAGGGUUCCAUCCCUGGCCAAGGAACUUCUGCAUGCUGUGGUUGUGGCCAACAAACAAACAAAACUAAAUCAAAAAGAUACUCCUAAAGACUUUACAAUCUGAAAGAUAAGAUUUGACCAGUCCAGACAUAUACACAGAUUGAACAAGUCUAACAAUAUUUGCACAGCACAAGACAUUUCCAAGUUCUGGCUUAUAAAUAUUCCAAAAAAAUAUUUGAUAAAGAGAAAUUUGAAUUUAAUUGAAAAAUUUGGAUUGUUCCUUAGAGUUCAACAUAAUAAAAUGUCCCCCUGGAGAUGAGACAAGGAGAACUCAAACCUAGUAUCUAAGAUGUAUAUUCUAGAAAGGAACUAGUGUUUAACCCCAUCUCCCCCCAGAAAUCUAACACUUAUGAACCUAGUUAAAAAUAAAUAAAUAAAUUGGCAAGUUGUAUAUCUGCCGCUGGUGCUUUGCGUAAAUGAUCAAUAUUCUGAUGGCUGGACCUUCUUACUCUUCAGUGUCCUUCAGCCUUUUGCUGAGAAUUUCUCAGGCCACCUGCCUCUGGGGAUUUCUUGGUUUCUCUGACUUCCCCUCUUCUUCCUUCUUUUUGCUCUUUUACAUUCCUCAAUUCCUGUUCCUUUCGUUGUUUCUUGCACACAGAAUUCCAGCUACUUCUCUGUUUUACGAGUCUUCACCUGUGGGACAGGGAAUCUAUGCCACCGUUAACCAGACAGAAAUGCUAUUGUUCAUUUGCAAGUAAGGCAAGCAGUUCCAUAGAAUUUGUGGAAGGGAGAAACUGAACACGAAGCACAAAUUCCUUCUCCAUGUCCUAUCUGCGUAUUUCUGCGGAGGCUCUGUCGGCAGAUUAGCUCAUUGAGAAUGUGUGGUGGUGGCCUUGACAAGGAGUCUAGGAGGCUCCAUUUCUAGAGAGUGCAAUUGACCAAGGCCUCCGAAAUCAACAGCCCCAUUCACACUGGGGCUACUCCAGGGUGAGCUUCUCCCAGCCAGCGACUGGGUGCAACAGGGAUACCCAGGCACAUUGCACCCUAGGGGACACCAGACUCCUCUGAUGGAGAAGGAUUUCCCGAGGUCUUGCUGAACCUUCCUUAGACUGCAUCAUAGUCUAGGAUGCUUCUGCCCACCCUAUCUUCCUCCUCUUCUUCCCUUGGGGUCAGGUUUGCAUCACUGUCUCGCAGCUCUUCCAGCUCUCCCUCACCAUUUUCCACAACAGAGCUUUCCCCUAAUAAAAUCCUUCAACAUGUAAUCCUGUUUUGGUAUCUGUUUCCCAGAGGGCUUGGACUAACACAUGCGCCUAGUAGACGAGCAAGUCUUACUGUGUGGCUCCGAACCUGGGAGUCUCACGGACAUUUGGUUCUGCUCACAUAACCCGCAUCAAAAUAGUUGAAUGAAAGUGAUCUUAGGGGUUAGUGGUAGCUAAAUAAGCAUAUCUGGUGAAGCGUCAAUACAAGUUUUCCUGCAACGUGAUUAGAAAGUCCAAGUCUGAAAGACCUUUGCUGGGAUUGUACCCUCCACUACCCUCCCUUCCCAUUGUACUUCUCUCUUUUACUCACAUUUCACACAAGAGAUAGGAUGGAGUGAACAGACAUUGGCUGGGUAAGGUCUGAUUCUCAGGUCUCUGAGAGAUUUUUUUUCAACAUUGCCUGCAUAUUUGCAGGAAAAGGUUGACUCAGUAUUACUAGGAAAUUGUCCUGACUCAAGAGAACAGAAAGUGGAAAUAUUUGGUUUUCUACAAAUGAUCUAUAAAACUGAGAUAAAAUUUUUCACUUAUCAGAUUGGCAAACAUUUAAAAGAUUGAUCUCAUCUAGUGUUGUGGAGAGGAUAAGGAACUAAGCCACUUCUUUAUACCGGUUAAGAGAAUAAACAGGUGAAAACCUUUAGUAAGGUUAAUUUAUCAGGAUCUAUCAAAAUUAAUGAUGGACACAACCUAUGGUCCAGUAACCCCAUUUUGGAAUAUUUUUCUACAGAAAUAUUUGUACGGGAAUACAAAGCUCUAUAGACAAGGAUGUUCACUGCCGUUUAUUAUAUUAUUAUUGUUAUUGCAAUAACACAGGAAGCAGUCUAAAUGGCCAGCAAGAUGAGACAGUUUAGGGAAUUAUACUAUAUCCAUACUAUGGAAUACUAUGCAGUUGUUAGCAGGGUGCCACUAGCCCAGAGGGCACCUUUUUGUAAAUUAGAAAAAGAUACCCUCUCCUCUGGGUAAACAAAGCCAAAUGCCAGGAAACAUAGUUUGGUGAAUGGAGCAUGAGCUAGAUUUUAACUCCAGUUAUCACCCCCUCCCAUCCCCGCCAGGUACUUACUUCAUCCCAAUGAAAAAUCUGGACAAUACUUAACAACACUGGCUGUUAAAAAUAAUAACACAGUAUUUUAUAUAAUGACAUGGAAAGCUCUCCAUGACAGUGUCAACUCCUCUCCCACAAGAAAAGAAAAAAAAAUUAAAAGAAAAUUGGCAAAUGCUAUUAUUUAUUUCUGCAUAGUAAAUUUCCUCAAAACAGAGUGUAUUAAGCAACAAACAUUUAUUAUCGUACAGCUUCUGUGGGUUAGGAUUCCUGGUGCAGCUUACCCCGGGUUGGUCCUCUGGCUCUGGGCCUCUCUAAAGGCUGCUGUCAAGAUGUUGGCGGGGGCUGCAGUUAUCUCAAGGCUUGACCGAGGGAGGGUCAGCUUCCAAGUUCAUGCCUGGGCUUGUUGGCAGGAUUUACUUCCCUGUCUGCUGUUGCACGGAGGGCCUCAGACCCUCUGUGGCUGUUGGCGGGGGACCACUGUUAGGUUCUGGCCAGGUGGGCCUCUCCAUAAGGCAACUUAAAACAUGGUGGGCGGCUUUCCUUCAAGUGAGCAUGGGAGCCGAGCCAGAGAGGUGCCAGCAAGAUGGAGGUCACAGUCCUUGAGAGCUGAACUUCAGCAGUGAUGACCACCCCUUUGCAGGAUUCUCCUCUUCCGAAACAAGUCACUAGCUUCAGCCCACACACAACCGGGAGGCCAUCACACCAGGGCUUGCAUAUCAGGAGGCUGCGUGCAUUCGGAACCGUUUUAGGAUCUGCUUACCUCAGAAUAUGCACUGAACUCUACAUAUGUAAAUGUCUCCAAGGCAGAGAAGUGGAGACAGUUCUGCUUUUUUAACUAUGAUUCCAAACUUCAAGAGAAGUUGCAAGAGUAGUCCGAGGACCUCCCAGAGGUAAAUACACACGUUUUACCCAAAUGAUCCAAUGGUUUCCAUUUGGCCUCCUUGCUUUAUCAUUUCUUCUGUGUAUCUGGGAGCCUAUUAUCUUUCUUUCUGGAAGAUUGAGCGUUAAGUUGGCAAUACAGCGUCCUUUUAUGUCUUAAUAGCUCCGUGUUAUUUUCUAACAAGGACGUUUCUUAUAUAACCAUAGUCAAAUAUUGCAAUGAACAGACAACUAAACAUUUUUGUUCAUCUUUUAUUGGGGUAUAGUUGAUUUACAAUGUUGUAUUAGCUGUGGGUUUAUAGCAAAGUGAAUCAGUUAUAUAUCUGUAUGUCUAUUCUUUUGUUCCCACAUAGAUUAUUACAGAACUCGGGAGACCUCCCUGGGCUGGACUGUGGGUCCCUGUCAUUAUCUCCCCUUUACAUAGUAAUGAAGUGAACACUUCUUUUGACAUUGUAUCCCCCAGUCUCAAUUAUCUCUCCCUUUACUCACUGAAAAGUUGCCUGAGAAGUCCUAGCUUCAGAACAAGAAAAUUAAACAUUAAUACCGUACUAUUAUAGAUCCCUAUCCAAAUUUCAUCCCAUUUCUCAGGAAUUCCGUCAUAGCUCUCUUUUUCUUCUUGGUCCAGGAUCAUGCAUUUCAUUUUGUGAUCACGACUCUUUAAGUUUCAUUAAAUCUGGAACAGAUCCUCAGGCUUUCUAUGUCUUUCUUGACCUUGAUAGUUUUUGAAGAGUCCUGCUGAAUCAUUUUGGAAAAAAAAUCCCUUAAUUUGGAUUUGUUUGCUCAUAAUUAAAGUUCCAUACUUUCUGCAGGGAUACUGCAAAAGCACGGUUAGCAUUAAAAGCAUUGUGCUUUUGGAGUUCUUGUUGUGGCUCGGUGGAAACAAAUCCGACUAGGAUCCAUGAGGAUGCAGUUCGAUCCCUGGCUUCACUCAUUUGGGGCGUGGGGGGAUCCGGCGUUGCCAUGAACUGUGGUGUAGGUCACAGACAUGGCUCAGAGCCCAUGUUGCUGUGGCUGUAGUGUAGACCAUCAGUUGCAGCUCUGAUUCAACCCCUAGCCUGUGGGAACCUCCAUAUGCCGUGGGUGCAGUCCUAAAG